UUGUUCUGGGUAUAAGCUUUCGUGUGCAUGUGUGUCUAAAGAAGUGUGCAUGUACAUGAAAGCUUAUACCCAGAACAAAC